rnacentral:tRNA from 1 species
CGUCCCGGAGGCCCCGGUACCGUCGGCCGCCGGGGCUUCGGACGCUCCGCGGUCCGCGGCCGAUGCGCUCACGGCGCGGUCCGCCGCCGCCGUGACGA